rnacentral:rRNA from 1 species
GAUGGACCCGCGGUGCAUUAGCUAGUUGGUGAGGUAACGGCUCACCAAGGCAACGAUGCAUAGCCGACCUGAGAGGGUGAUCGGCCACACUGGGACUGAGACACGGCCCAGACUCCUACGGGAGGCAGCAGUAGGGAAUCUUCGGCAAUGGACGAAAGUCUGACCGAGCAACGCCGCGUGAGUGAAGAAGGUUUUCGGAUCGUAAAACUCUGUUGUUAGAGAAGAACAAGGAUGAGAGUAAAACGUUCAUCCCUUGACGGUAUCUAACCAGAAGGCCACGGCUAACUACGUGCCAGCAGCCGCGGUAAUACGUAGGUGGCAAGCGUUGUCCGGAUUUAUUGGGCGUAAAGCGAGCGCAGGCGGUUUCUUAAGUCUGAUGUGAAAGCCCCCGGCUCAACCGGGGAGGGUCAUUGGAAACUGGGAGACUUGAGUGCAGAAGAGGAGAGUGGAAUUCCAUGUGUAGCGGUGAAAUGCGUAGAUAUAUGGAGGAACACCAGUGGCGAAGGCGGCUCUCUGGUCUGUAACUGACGCUGAGGCUCGAAAGCGUGGGGAGCGAACAGGAUUAGAUACCCUGGUAGUCCACGCC